GCCAGAUAAACUGCAAAAUCAUAACUUCUCUUGAACCCAUCAGAGAGCUAAGUAGCCUGAAAUCCAAGUCAAGACAUGACAUAAGCAUGCUUCACCUGUGUUAGAGCAUGUAAGGAAAAGAUGGAUGUCAGGGACACAUGAACAAGCUUCCUUCCAAUGCAUACUAAUAACAAAGAUGGCAGGCAUGGAGAUUACAGAAAGCUUCUCUCACUGGUGCAUGCCUGGAGGAAGGAAAAGCUCCUUUCCAAAGAAAAACCAGGAAGCCAGCUAGACCCUAGCCCUUAUAAAACAGAAGUCUUUAGCCCCUGGAGGAGCAUGUAGCAAACUAUUGCUCCCAGAGCACAGUGGAAGAAGACUUAUUACAGCUGAGAAAUGGAUAGAUAAAAAGGAACCCUAAAUUGCAGAUGAUGCCAGAUACGUCUGCCAAAAUGUUGGAUUUUUCUCUGUGAUGUCAGGUUUUAGAUCUUUUGCUUUUAAAUAAAGAUAUAAUGAUGAAUAAAA